rnacentral:rRNA from 1 species
AACGAACGCUGGCGGCGUGCCUAAUACAUGCAAGUUGAGCGCUGAAGGUUGGUACUUGUACCGACUGGAUGAGCAGCGAACGGGUGAGUAACGCGUGGGGAAUCUGCCUUUGAGCGGGGGACAACAUUUGGAAACGAAUGCUAAUACCGCAUAAAAACUUUAAACACAAGUUUUAAGUUUGAAAGAUGCAAUUGCAUCACUCAAACAUGAUCACGCGUUGUAUUAGCUAGUUGGUGAGGUAAAGGCUCACCAAGGAGAUGAUACAUAGCCGACCUGAGAGGGUGAUCGGCCACAUUGGGACUGAGACACGGCCCAAACUCCUACGGGAGGCAGCAGUAGGGAAUCUUCGGCAAUGGACGAAAGUCUGACCGAGCAACGCCGCGUGAGUGAAGAAGGUUUUCGGAUCGUAAAACUCUGUUGGUAGAGAAGAACGUUGGUGAGAGUGGAAAGCUCAUCAAGUGACGGUAACUACCCAGAAAGGGACGGCUAACUACGUGCCAGCCGCCGCUGUAA